UACAGAGGUCCCAAGCGUUGUUCGGAUUUACUGGGCGUAAAGGGUGCGUAGGUGGUGAGGUAAGUCUGAUGUGAAAGCUCCGAGCUUAACUCGGAAAUGGCAUUCAAAACUACCUUGCUAGAGGGUUGGAAGGGGGACUGGAAUUCUCGGUGUAGCAGUGAAAUGCGUAGAUAUCGAGAGGAACACCAGUGGCGAAGGCGAGUCCCUGGACAACUCCUGACACUGAGGCGCGAAAGCUAGGGGAGCAAACAGG
rnacentral:rRNA from 1 species